rnacentral:rRNA from 1 species
UACGUAGGGGGCGAGCGUUGUCCGAAUUCACUGGGCGUAAAGCGCGCGUAGGCGGGUUAUUAAGUUGUGGGUGAAAUCCCGAGGCUCAACCUCGGAGCUGCCUGCAAAACUGGUAACCUGGAGGUAUGGAGAGGGAAGUGGAAUUCCUGGUGUAGCGGUGAAAUGCGUAGAUAUCAGGAGGAACACCCGUGGCGAAGGCGGCUUCCUGGCCAUAUCCUGACGCUGAGGUGCGAAAGCUAGGGGAGCGAAC